rnacentral:rRNA from 2 species
AGGAAAAGAAACCAACAGGGAUUGCCCUAGUAACGGCGAGUGAAGCGGCAACAGCUCAAAUUUGAAAUCUGGCGCAAGCCCGAGUUGUAAUUUGUAGAGGAUGCUUCUAGGUAGCGACCGGUCUAAGUUCCUUGGAACAGGACGUCAUAGAGGGUGAGAAUCCCGUAUGUGACUGGCCCGCACCUUCUACGUAGCUCCUUCGACGAGUCGAGUUGUUUGGGAAUGCAGCUCUAAAUGGGAGGUAAAUUUCUUCUAAAGCUAAAUACCGGCCAGAGACCGAUAGCGCACAAGUAGAGUGAUCGAAAGAUGAAAAGCACUUUGGAAAGAGAGUUAAAAAGCACGUGAAAUUGUUGAAAGGGAAGCGCUCACAACCAGACUUCUAGGCAGUGUUCCGCCGGUCUUUUGACCGGUCUACUCUCUGUCUCGAGGCCAACAUCAUCUGGGACCGCUGGAUAAGACCUUAGGAAUGUAGCUCCCCUCGGGGAGUGUUAUAGCCUCUGGUGAUGCAGCGAGUCUCGGGUGAGGUCCGCGCUUCGGCAAGGAUGUUGGCGUAAUGGUUGUCAGCGGCCCGUCUUGAAACACGGACCAAGGAGUCUAACAUCUAUGCGAGUGUUCGGGUGUCAAACCCCUACGCGUAAUGAAAGUGAACGGAGGUGGGAAGCGUAAGCUGCACCAUCGACCGAUCCUGAUGUCCUCGGAUGGAUUUGAGUAAGAGCAUAGCUGUUGGGACCCGAAAGAUGGUGAACUAUGCCUGAAUAGGGUGAAGCCAGAGGAAACUCUGGUGGAGGCUCGCAGCGGUUCUGACGUGCAAAUCGAUCGUCAAAUUUGGGUAUAGGGGCGAAAGACUAAUC